UACGGAGGGUGCAAACGUUGCUCGGAAUCAUUGGGCGUAAAGCGCACGUAGGCGGCCUGUUAAGUCGGGUGUGAAAUCCCCCGGCUCAACUGGGGAACUGCACAGGAAACUAGCGGGCUUGAGUUCGGGAGAGGGAAGCGGAAUUCCGGGUGUAGCGGUGAAAUGCGUAGAUAUCUGGAGGAACACCGGUGGCGAAGGCGGCUUGCUGGACUGACACUGACGCUGAGGCACGAAGGCCAGGGGAGCAAACGGG
rnacentral:rRNA from 1 species